CAAGAGAAGAAAAUCCGAAAAACUGGAACAAAUAAAAACAAAACAAAAAGACUUAGAAGGUGAAAACAAGAGAAGAAAAUCCGAAAAACUUGAACAAAUAAAAACAAAACAAAAAGGCUUAGAAGGUGAAAACAAGAGAAGAAAAUCCGGAAAACUGGAACAAAAAAACAUCGGAAAAAUUAAACAAAUCUGAAAUAUUGAAAAAAAAAACAUAAAAUUUGGAAGAGAAACAAAAAACGAAAAAGUGAAAACAAGAGAAUAAACAAAAUCCGAGAAACUGGAACAGGAAAACACAUCCGGAAAAAUUAAACAAAACUGAAAUUCUGGAAAAAAAUAUAGAAAUUGAAAACAAAACAAAAAACGAAGAAGUGAAAACAAGAAAAUAAACAAAAUCCGAAAAACUGGAACAGAAAAAAAAACAUCCGGAAAAAUUAAACAAAUCUGAAAUUCUGAAAAAAA